rnacentral:rRNA from 1 species
GAUGAACGCUGGCGGCGUGCCUAAUACAUGCAAGUCGAGCGAACAGAUAAGGAGCUUGCUCCUUUGACGUUAGCGGCGGACGGGUGAGUAACACGUGGGUAACCUACCCAUAAGACUGGAAUAACUCCGGGAAACCGGGGCUAAUGCCGGAUAACAUGUUGAACCGCAUGGUUCUACAGUGAAAGGCGGCUUUGCUGUCACUUAUAGAUGGACCCGCGCCGUAUUAGCUAGUUGGUGAGGUAACGGCUCACCAAGGCAACGAUACGUAGCCGACCUGAGAGGGUGAUCGGCCACACUGGAACUGAGACACGGUCCAGACUCCUACGGGAGGCAGCAGUAGGGAAUCUUCCGCAAUGGGCGAAAGCCUGACGGAGCAACGCCGCGUGAGUGAUGAAGGUCUUCGGAUCGUAAAACUCUGUUAUUAGGGAAGAACAAAUGCGUAAGUAACUGUGCGCGUCUUGACGGUACCUAAUCAGAAAGCCACGGCUAACUACGUG